GACGAACGCUGGCGGCGUGCUUAACACAUGCAAGUCGAACGAGUGGCGAACGGGUGAGUAAUACGUGAGUAACCUGCCCUCUUUGUGGGAUAAGCCUUGGAAACGGGGACUACUACCGGAUAAAGGGGGAUGGGCUCGCGGCCUAUCAGCUUGUUGGUGGGGUGAUGGCCUACCAAGGCGGUGCCGGUUAGCCGGCCUGAGAGGGAGACCGGGCACAUGGGGAAGGAGAUACGGCCCAGACGCCGACGGGAGGGAGCAUUGGGGGAUAUGGCGCAAUGGUGGAAAGCCUGAUGCGGCGACGCCGCGUGGGGGAUGGGGUCUUACGGGUUUGAAACCUAUUUCGCUAUCGGGGUAGCUGGAGAAAAAGCGCCGGCUAACUACGUGCCAGCAGCCGCGGUAAUUC
rnacentral:rRNA from 1 species